rnacentral:tRNA from 1 species
AGGGAUUUAGGAUAACAAUAGACCAAAAGCCUUCAAAGCUUUAAGUAGAAGUGAAAAUCUUCUAAUCCCUG